rnacentral:rRNA from 1 species
GGAGGAAAAGAAACCAACAGGGAUUGCCUUAGUAGCGGCGAGUGAAGCGGCAAAAGCUCAAAUUUGAAAUCUGGCACUUUCAGUGUCCGAGUUGUAAUUUGAAGAAGGUAUCUUUGGGUCUGGCUCUUGUCUAUGUUUCUUGGAACAGAACGUCACAGAGGGUGAGAAUCCCGUGCGAUGAGAUGUCCCAGACCUAUGUAAAGUUCCUUCGAAGAGUCGAGUUGUUUGGGAAUGCAGCUCUAAGUGGGUGGUAAAUUCCAUCUAAAGCUAAAUAUUGGCGAGAGACCGAUAGCGAACAAGUACAGUGAUGGAAAGAUGAAAAGAACUUUGAAAAGAGAGUGAAAAAGUACGUGAAAUUGUUGAAAGGGAAGGGCUUGAGAUCAGACUUGGUAUUUUGUAUGUUACUCUCUCGGGGGUGGCCUCUACAGUUUACCGGGCCAGCAUCAGUUUGAGCGGUAGGAUAAGUGCAAAGAAAUGUGGCACUGCUUCGGUAGUGUGUUAUAGUCUUUGUCGAUACUGCCAGCUUAGACUGAGGACUGCGGCUUCGGCCUAGGAUGUUGGCAUAAUGAUCUUAAGUCGCCCGUC